GAUGAACGCUGGCGGCGUGCUUAACACAUGCAAGUCGAACGAUGAAGCCCAGCUUGCUGGGUGGAUUAGUGGCGAACGGGUGAGUAACACGUGAAUAACCUGCCCUUAACUCUGGGAUAAGCCUGGGAAACUGGGUCUAAUACCGGAUAGGAGCGUCCACCGCAUGGUGGGUGUUGGAAAGAUUUAUCGGUUUUGGAUGGACUCGCGGCCUAUCAGCUUGUUGGUGAGGUAAUGGCUCACCAAGGCGACGACGGGUAGCCGGCCUGAGAGGGUGACCGGCCACACUGGGACUGAGACACGGCCCAGACUCCUACGGGAGGCAGCAGUGGGGAAUAUUGCACAAUGGGCGCAAGCCUGAUGCAGCGACGCCGCGUGAGGGAUGACGGCCUUCGGGUUGUAAACCUCUUUCAGUAGGGAAGAAGCGAAAGUGACGGUACCUGCAGAAGAAGCGCCGGCUAACUACGUG
rnacentral:rRNA from 1 species